UCAUUUGGGUGUAUUUUUAGUAUGUUCUAAAUAAUGAUUGUUUGCCUUCCAGAAUGGACUCCAGAAAAAGAAAGCAGAGGCAAGAGGAGUCAGAUUCUGAUUCAGAAUCUGAAUCUGAACCAAGUGAUGAGUAAUGUCCUAAAAUUAUUACUCAUUUCUUUUGGCUUCAUUAUAAAGAUUUCGUGUAUUAACUGAAGUGUCUAUUAUUAACUUAUAGGAGCGAAGAAUCAUCACCUGCAGAGAAGGAGAAGGAGAAGAAAAAAACAAAAACAACACCAAAAAAAACACAACCAAAAAAGAAAAAAGUUGUUGUGGAGGAUUCACCUCCUAAAGAAGAUCAAUACUUUGACGGUGAGACAUAUGAAAUAUCAAGUGACGAACUAGAUGAAUGGCUA